GCCUAUAAAACAACCCAAGAAAGAGACAAAUCCAGAUGGCGCCCCCUACUGGAGGAUGAGAGCACAAUGCCUACUAGAGGUGUGUAGACUAUGUCCCUCAGCUGGAAGACUUGAGGUUGAAGCUGUGCUUUGUAUGGUGUGGAGAUGCGCGCUGAACUUGUAGAGAAGGGAGCUAAGCAUACAGCAUUUUCUCCAGGCUUUCAAGAUCUGCCCUGGAGUAAGGGGGAUUUCACUCCCUAUAGCAAAGGAGAGUGUGAAUACAGUCCUUACUGCCACAAGCUUUGCAUCCAAAAUUCUUGAAUUUGGAGAAAUUGCAGGGAUCAGCACAUAUGAAAUGUAAUGGAGAAGCCUUGCUCUGGAGAACCACCUGCCUGGUCACAGUAUCUCCCCUGCCAGUAAGGACUGCUAAGGAGACGCUCCACAACCGGUCCAGCUGCAUGCUAGUUUGAAAGCGAGCUCCAACGAUGCAGUUUCCAAAAGAGUCAUCGCUCAUGCUGGUGUGACUUUUCAGUGGUGUGGCUGCCUGUGAGUCACCCAUGCUUCUGAAAGAUCUGAAGUGGAAAGCAAAAGAAUGGAAAAAAAAAUCAGACUGCACAUCCUAACUGUCAGAAAGCCGAUACAGCUGAAUCACCACUGACUCUGGGACAGGAAGUACUACCAGGGAGGUAACCCAUGAAGAUAAAGUAUCCAGGUCCUGUUUACCAAGGACGCUGUAGCAACUCAGACUGUGUGUGGACUUAUCUUGGCCUCCGUAUUUAAGAAGCAGAAACCACAAAGUUGAGCGUUGGGGAAAAGAAAUAUCUAAAUGAAAAGCAAAAGUUGACAAAGCCACAAAUAAAAUCAGACAAGUUAUGAACAGAAUGGGUGCAAUGGUAUUAAUCUAUCUUGCAGCGUUGAUAGAAUGAGCAAACUCAAAAUAUCAGAAAAGAGGGGCCAAGGAGAUGGCUCCGUUCGUAAAGCCCCUGCCUCAGAUGCCUGGGGACCUGAAUUCAGAUCCCCAGCACCCUGAGAAGGUUCCACAGUGGAGAGAGAGCUGC